rnacentral:rRNA from 1 species
GCAGCACGGACUUCGGUCUGGUGGCGAGUGGCGAACGGGUGAGUAAUAUAUCGGAACGUAUCCAUAAUGGGGGAUAACUAAUCGAAAGGUUGGCUAAUACCGCAUACGCCCUACGGGGGAAAGCUAGGGACCUUCGGGCCUGGCGUUAAUGGAGCGGCCGAUAUCUGAUUAGCUAGUUGGUGGGGUAAAGGCCCACCAAGGCGACGAUCAGUAGCUGGUCUGAGAGGACGACCAGCCACACUGGAACUGAGACACGGUCCAGACUCCUACGGGAGGCAGCAGUGGGGAAUUUCGGACAAUGGGCGCAAGCCUGAUCCAGCCAUUCCGCGUGAGUGAAGAAGGCCUUCGGGUUGUAAAGCUCUUUCGCAAGGGAAGAAAGAUUACUCUCUAACAUAGAGUGAUUAUGACGGUACCUUGAUAAGAAGCACCGGCUAACUACGUGCCAGCAGCCGCGGUAAUACGUAGGGUGCGAGCGUUAAUCGGAAUUACUGGGCGUAAAGCGUGCGCAGGCGGUUUUGUAAGUCAGAUGUGAAAUCCCCGAGCUCAACUUGGGAACUGCGUUUGAAACUACAAGACUAGAAUAUGUCAGAGGGGGGUAGAAUUCCACGUGUAGCAGUGAAAUGCGUAGAGGUGUGGAGGAAUACCAAUGGCGAANGCAGCCCCCUGGGAUAAUAUUGACGCUCAUGCACGAAAGCGUGGGGAGCAAACAGGAUUAGAUACCCUGGUAGUCCACGCCCUAAACGAUGUCUACUAGUUGUUGGUGGAGUAAAAUCCAUGAGUAACGCAGCUNACGCGUGAAGUAGACCGCCNGGGGAGUACGAUCGCAAGAUUAAAACUCAAAUGAAUUGACGGGGGCCCGCACAAGCGGUGGANUAUGUGGAUUAAUUCGAUGCNACNNGAAAACCUUACCUGGCCCUU